rnacentral:tRNA from 1 species
GCCUUCGUGGUGUAGUGGUCAGCACGUUCGACGUGUAUUCGAUAGGUCAAUGGUUCGAAACCUGGUAAAGGCG